AUUGAACGCUGGCGGCAGGCCUAACACAUGCAAGUCGAGCGAGCGGCGGACGGGUGAGGAAUGUCUGGGAAACUGCCUGAUGGAGGGGGAUAACUACUGGAAACGGUAGCUAAUACCGCAUACCAUCAGAUGUGCCCAGAUGGGAUUAGCUAGUAGGUGGGGUAACGGCUCACCUAGGCGACGAUCCCUAGCUGGUCUGAGAGGAUGACCAGACAAACUGGAACGGAGACACGGUCCAGACUCCUACGGGAGGCAGCAGUGGGGAAGAUUGCACAAUGGGGGCAAGCCUGAGGCAGCCAUGCCGCGUGUGUGAAGAAGGCCUUCGGGUUUUAAAGCACUUUCAGCGGGGAGGCGUUACCCGCAGAAGAAGCACCGGCUAACUCCGGUCCAGCCGCCGCGGUAAUUC
rnacentral:rRNA from 1 species